rnacentral:lncRNA from 1 species
AUCCACUUCCGCUACAAACAUGCUCGUUUCAUUCUAAUUUAUUAUUAAUUCCUCUUUCUUUCCAGCAUACAUAAACAAAGAAGGAUUCCCGAGGAAUGAUCAUGCUAUAAUUCUUACCUGCUCACGCCCAAAAAGACCGUCCCUCUUUCUGGGCAUGCGCUGGGCACAUUGCACAACUAAUAGCUUAAGCCAUUCCCUGCUCGCUUCCUUCUUCGAGGGCCUGCUCGUUUGGGGGGUAA